CUCGAAGUUGCCAAUAAUGUCGUCUAUCUCCUUGUUUGUGCGCUGCACCUCCAUUUUGGCCUUAAACAGCUCCGAAUCAGCGGCACUCUAGGAAAACUUGGACUUGAGCUCAAGCAUCUGGCGCUGACGUAGUACCUCCUUAUCCCGCGCUAUGACAGCCAGUCGAAGAUUGUCCCUUGUGGACUUGCAAAGCUGCUCGAAUUGCGCCAACUCGUUGACAAUCUAGGCCAAUAUCAUAAUAUAAUAUAUGAAUGCAGACUCAAAAAGGAUAA